UACGUAGGGAGCAAGCGUUGUCCGGAUUCACUGGGCGUAAAGGGUGCGCAGGCGGACUUGUAAGUCAGGGGUGAAAUCUUACGGCUUAACCGUGAAACUGCCUUUGAUACUGCAGGUCUUGAGUUCGGGAGAGGUUGAUGGAAUUCCGGGUGUAGCGGUGAAAUGCGCAGAUAUCCGGAGGAACACCGGUGGCGAAGGCGGCUUCCUGGACCGACACUGACGCUGAGGCGCGAAAGCUAGGGGAGCAAACGGG
rnacentral:rRNA from 1 species